rnacentral:rRNA from 1 species
GGUUUGUGGCUUGGUCUGAUGCGGUGCAUUGAGGUUCUAGCACGAUUGCCCCUUACAGGUUGGACAUCCUCUGACAACCCUAGAGAAGGCCUUCUCCUUAGGGAGCAGAGUGACAGGUGGUGCAUGGUUGUCGUCAGCUCGUGUCGUGAGAUGUUGGGUUAAGUCCCGCAACGAGCGCAACCCUUGAUCUUAGUUGCCAUCAUUUAGUUGGGCACUCUAAGGUGACUGCCGGUGACAAACCGGAGGAAGGUGGGGAUGACGUCAAAUCAUCAUGCCCCUUAUGACCUGGGCUACACACGUGCUACAAUGGACGGAACAAAGAGCUGCAAGACCGCGAGGUUUAGCUAAUCUCAUAAAACCGUUCUCAGUUCGGAUUGCAGGCUGCAACUCGACUACAUGAAGCUGGAAUCGCUAGUAAUCGCGGAUCAGCAUGCCGUUGUGAAUACGUUCCCGGGCCUUGUACACACUCGACCGUAACACGC